UAGGUGUCCUAUGACUUAAUAGAGAAAUCGGUGUAAAGCCGGUGCGGUCCCGCCACUGUAUGGACGAGCGACUCUCAAUAUACCAUUGGAGCAAUCUGAGAAGGGGAGAGAAGCGAUGAAGCCGAGCCAGGAGAACUGCCUAUUUAA
rnacentral:ncRNA from 1 species